rnacentral:misc_RNA from 1 species
UAUGAUCUAAUUAUUUGUACUUUCGAUUUAUUUAACAACAUUAGUGAUUCUUCGAUAAAUUUAUUGCAUUUUCAAAUAUAAUACAAACGUUUCUCGCAACCAUAAUAUUGUGUUAACUAUUGAAUUAACUGAAGCCAAGGUGUACCGUAACAAUCGAUUUCCUUGUAAUCGAUAAGUCCUAGCGGUGUCGGUUGUGCGGCUUCGUCCCGCGUUUUCACGUGGACGCGUUUAUACACGAUCAGUCGGGGACGUGAUUUUGACCGGAAACGUUUGUGAUACAGAAUCGAAAGUUGUCAAUCGGAUACAGUGCGAAUCGAAUGUUUACAUUGUAACGGCGACGGACAGAUUCGACAGUCGGCGAAUUGCGACGCGUGCAGUUCCUUCGGGAUAACUUGAGGAUCUAUUUUCGCCGUUGAAAUGCGCGCGGGAACACGUUCGCGGCGGGUUUCUCGAACCGUAGUGCUUUAGUACGGCCAGUCUCUCCGCUUCGUGCAGAACUUCGCCGAUCCCGGAAUAGUUUUCGGCGGUUGCUCCGUUAAAGUUUUUCGUGUGGCCGUCGCACAGGCCAAUCUGCAGUCGUUUGCUCGCGAUUUUACCGUACAUAACCCCGAAAACAGUUGUGUGUGAAUCGGUCAACUCCGCGUAAAAGUAUCGUUUCUCGAUUUCUUUCGGACGGUUCGCUUGCUUUAACGGUCGUUCACCCUGGAAGCUGAUACGGAGAACACGAGGAUGGAUGCCACGGACGUCCUCGGUCCUGACGCUUCGUCGGGAAACGACGAGGGUGUUCUGAACAACAACGAAAACGAUGAUGCGCCUACCGUUGAGGAGACGUACGAGGUCACCACCACGAAGCGUAAAACCAUUCGGACCAGCUAUAAGAUCCAAGAAACUUCUGCAUCAACCAAAACAACCACCAUGACUACUGCAGCUAAAUUAUAUGGCAAAGAUCUGAGUGAAUACGAUGAUGUUGAUGUGGAUGAAUUAUUGGCACAACUGACUCCAGAGGAAAUUAAUAUGUUAGCCAAGGAAGUGGAUCCCGACGACAGUUUUAUGCCACCAUCACAACGUUGUAGUUACGAAUGUGACAAGAGUCCAACAGGACCGCUAAAUCGUAAGAAACUAAUUGAACACAUCAACAAACAGGCUUUAGAGACACCAGAUAUACCAGAAUUAAAGCCCUAUGUUCCUGGUGUUAUUAGAGGCAAGAAGUGGGUUCCACCACCUCAAGAAACGGUAAAAGAAAAAGAAGCAGACGAACAAAUUGCUAUUGAUCUUGGAGAUGAAUAUGAGCAUGCAUUAUCAAAUGCUACUCAAGAAGAAAUCAUUGAUCUUGCUGCUAUUCUUGGAUUCCAUUCCAUGAUGAAUCAAGACCAGUAUCAUGCCUCUCUGUUAAAUUCUGGCCAGCCUGUUGGUUUGGGUUGGGAUGGAAUUACCAAAGCUAGUCAACCAAAACCUUAUCCAAUGGAACCACCUAACGAUACAGAUGUUGAUGCUACUAUUAAACAAGUUCGAGAAGAUGAUGUCUCAUUGACUGAUUUAAAUUGGAAUAACAUUAAAAACAUAUCCGACGAAAAAUUCGUUCAGCUGUUCGAAGGACUGGAGAUGAAUACACAUCUCGAAUCAUUAAGUUUAACGAACGUGGGACUUACCGAUAAGACUGCACAAAGGUUGGCAGAAGCCUUAGAGAAGAAUUCUACGCUCAGAGUACUCAAUGUGGAAACAAACUUUAUAAGCCCAUCUGUGAUAGUGAGGCUCAUUAGAGCACUACUUAAAACGAAAUCAAUAGAAGAAUUUCGAUGUUCGAAUCAGAGGUCACAGGUAUUGGGAAAUAAAAUUGAAAUGGAAAUCACACAAUUGGUAGAAGAAAACCCAACGUUGCUACGACUUGGCCUUCAUUUGGAAUUUAACGAUGCUAGACAUCGUGUGGCUGCACAUCUGCAACGCAACAUUGAUAGGAUACGGCAGUCCCGGCUCGGGGUGGCGACAUCUUAACGCGAAGUGGCGUUCGCCUAGCAGAGAGCAAAGUGCGACAUCUGCGGUUUUCGUAAGUCAGCAAUCGGAACAGAAGGAAGAGCCGAGGAACCAUGAAGAGGUGGUAGAGAAGCGAAGAGAGGAGAAUGCCACCUCUUUGGGCACUAACCUGUGGUACUAACUAACGAACUUUCACGGUCCAACGCCCACUAGCAGAGUAAUUAGCCUAGCUAACGAGCGAUCGUUAUACGAAACCGCGGUGCCGCGGAAAAGUCAACGAUCUACACCUCACAAUGAUCGAAGAUCCAUUGUUCUCGACACAAUUCCUGUCCUUGUGAAUCAAGAGCAUCCGAUCGGUGGAAAUAUUGAGCGUCGAACGUAGGGUAUGUCAUGAUAUUCGUGAUGGAAAUGUAGUGAUCAUAUUGCUGCUACGGACAGGAGCUUAAAUCACGAGAGAUGUACUUGAAAUACCCCACCUUCAAUAAUAAACUGAAACAAAUUUACAGA